rnacentral:misc_RNA from 1 species
GUAUUUGUGCGAGUUAACGCAAGGUACAUUCUGAUACUUCAUUGGGGUAUGUUAAGGAUUGCAUGCGAGCCUCCGAUCUCUCUUCGGCUCGCACACUUGGUUCACAAAGGGGUGGAAUAGAGAAGGGACACGCAUCCGGCCGAGCACAUCCCAUUGCUGGGCAGCAUCAGACCGAACACGCAUUCCGAGCUUCGCUAAUGAUCCUUCCGCAGGUUCACCUACGGAAA